rnacentral:rRNA from 1 species
UUAGGCAAAUCCGGGGUACUCUAUGCUGAGAACUGAUAGCAAGCUGUACUUGUACAGUGAAGUGGCUGAUACCAUGCUUCCAGGAAAAGUCUCUAAGCUUCAGUUACAUAGGAAUCGUACCCGAAACCGACACAGGUGGUCAGGUCGAGUAGACCAAAGCGCUUGAGAGAACUCUGCUGAAGGAACUAGGCAAAAUGGUACCGUAACUUCGGGAGAAGGUACGCUGCCG